AUGGUCAGCGUCACCGAAGGGCUCCGGGCGGCCGUGACCCUGCUGGAGUGCGGGGGGGACCUCCAGCCCCCCGGGGGGUCCCUGAAUCUGCUCUGCCGCGGGUCUGGAUUCACGUUUGGGAGUUUCAACAUGAUGUGGGCCCGCCAGAGCUUCGGGAAGGCGCUGGAAUUUGUCGCAGAGAUCAGCUACAGUGGUGGCAGCACCUGGUACGCGCCAUCGGUCAAGGGCCGGUUCACGAUCUCCAGGGACAACGGGCAGAGCUCGGUGACGCUGACCAUGAACAGCCUCAAGGACGAGGAUUCCGCCGUUUAUUUCUGUGCCAGAAAUGCUGGUGGUCAUUGGGUUGAAGUUGGCGGUGCUGCUGCUGGUUUUUAUCCCAUCCCCAUCUUGGCAUUGCCACCGGUCCCCAAAUGUCACCAGACCCCAACCGUUGACCCCGACCUUGAGCACUGA